GUUACAGAACCAGAUGGUCUAAGUUAGUCUUUCAUUUGCCAGGAUGAUGGGAAAGCACUGCCUUGCUCUGCAACUGAAAUGGUGGUGGCCGCUUUGCCAAUGGACGGUUGGCUGUGAUUUCCAGGGACAGUUGUUCUUCCAGAAGCAAAGUGCCCAAGGCUCUGGGUGGAGGAGUUCAGCUAUUACCUUGACUUUGCCGAAGUCCUAGGCACUCCCAUGCCCUCAGAGUCUCAUUUUGAAUCCAGGCACUUAGGGAUGCUAUUUUUCCACAUCAAACAGCUUCCUCCCAGCCAAAGAAUUCUGGUGACAGUAGUGAAGAUAAUUUUCACUCCUGCUUACAGAAUGACAAAGCAAAAGCAAAGAGGAGAAGAAUGAAGUAAAGACAACCAAAGGAAAAGACUGAUGGCUCCUUAAGAAUGAUCUUGAUAAAGGAAUGGUGGCUGAGGGGUCCAUCUCCUAAACCACCCACCUUACUGACUCCCUAGAGCAAUGCCAUACAGAAAGCUGCACCUUGAGGGGAAGACACAAGAAUCCUGGAGUGGAAAAAAAUUGGGUAAUGAUGACAGCCUUCGAGGUCUUGAGAGUAAAGCAGAAGCAAAAAAAAAGUGUUAUUUUUAUCUUUUGAAGAUGGUUCCCUCUUAAGACUUUUGCGAAUGAUUAAGAUUUCAAUUAUGUUCCAGGAAAAAAAUAAGAUUUUUGCUUGACAAAAAAAAUUUUUGUCUAGAACAGGUGGGAAGGAAGAGAUAGUUUAGCCACAUCCAAGAGACCUGUAAAUUGGGUACAGUGAAGUGAAUGGUGUACCAGUCAUAAAAGAAUGUUAACUGGAGAAGUCUCUGCUGUCUUCCUGUAACUGAGGGGGGUGUAACCAUCCUUGUGGAAGCGUCCACUUUUAUUGAAGAUUGGCUAAAUAAAUCUGUGCCUACUGAAACUCAAGC
rnacentral:lncRNA from 1 species